CGGAGGGAUCAUUAAAGAGUUCUAUAACUCCCAAACCCAUGUGAACAUACCUAACGUUGCCUCGGCAGGUCGCACCUACCUUGUAGCACCCUACCCUGUAGGGCCUACCCGGGAGGUGCGGGUAAGCCUGCCGGCGGCCCACCAAACUCUGUUUGAUAUUGAAUUCUGAACCUAUAACUAAAUAAGUUAAAACUUUCAACAACGGAUCUCUUGGUUCUGGCAUCGAUGAAGAACGCAGCGAAAUGCGAUAAGUAAUGUGAAUUGCAGAAUUCAGUGAAUCAUCGAAUCUUUGAACGCAUAUUGCGCCCAUUAGUAUUCUAGUGGGCAGGACCGUUCGAGCGUCAUUUCAACCCUUAAGCCUUCGUUGCUUAGUGUUGGGAGCCUACGGCAACGUAGCUCCUCAAAGUUAGUGGCGGAGUUGGUUCACACUCUAGACGUAGUAAUUUUUUAUCUCGCCUAUUAGUUGGACUAAUCCCCUGCCGUAAAACCCCCAAUUUAUCAAGGUUGACCUCGAAUCGGUUCAGACAAACUCGCUAAAUUGAAGCAUCUUAGUCAGCGAAGGAAAAGAAACCAACAGGGAUUGCCCUAGUAACGGCGAGUGAAGCGGCAACAGCUCAAAUUUGAAAUCUGGCC
rnacentral:rRNA from 1 species